CAGUCGCCGCGGUAAUACGAACCGUGCGAACGUUAUUCGGAAUCACUGGGCUUAAAGCGCGUGUAGGUGGGACGGCACGUCGGCCGCUGAAAGCCCCCGGCCUAACCGGGGAAGUGGCGCCGAUACGACCGCCCUGGAGGGACGUAGGGGGGGCUGGAACUUCCGGUGGAGCGGUGAAAUGCGUUGAGAUCGGAAGGAACGCCCGUGGCGAAAGCGAGCCCCUGGACGUUUUCUGACACUGAGACGCGAAAGCCAGGGGAGCGAACGGGAUUAGAUACCCCCGUAGUCCCUGUCUCUUAUA
rnacentral:rRNA from 1 species